UACAGAGGUCUCAAGCGUUGUUCGGAUUUAUUGGGCGUAAAGGGCGCGUAGGCGGCGCUGUAAGUCUGGUGUGAAAUUUCGGAGCUUAACUCCGAAACUGCAUUCGAUACUGCGGUGCUUGAGGACUGGAGAGGAGACUGGAAUUCAUGGUGUAGCAGUGAAAUGCGUAGAGAUCAUGAGGAAGACCAGUGGCGAAGGCGGGUCUCUGGACAGUUCCUGACACUGAGGCACGAAGGCCAGGGGAGCAAACGGG
rnacentral:rRNA from 1 species